rnacentral:lncRNA from 1 species
CUUCCACAGUGGAGCUGUGCACGCUUUCUUUGGACCUCAUUGACUUAGAGGACAAGAAAUACGACUGCUGUGUCCUUUGACCAAGAGUGGAGCAAGCAGACCAGAGAAGGCAUGGUCUUGAAUUUGUGUGGAAUGCCUUACCCUGUCUUCUUUCAGCUCUAGUGUUUGUUCUCAGGGUUGAGGUCUGCAGUUUUGGAUGUCUCAUCCAUCACUGCCAAAAGUACGGAAACAUCGAGGAAUUUCCUGGUGGGUUUUUGUUGUUGUUGUUGUUGUCAUUGUUCCUGCUUUUCAACUUUAUUUCCUGUUUAAACAGUGGGUGGGAUUUAAUAAAUAAAUAUGUUGGUUGUAUGUGUGUGUGUGGGUAUGAGUGAGUGGGUGUAGAGAGAGAAAGAAAGAAAGAAAAAAAAAGAGGAAGUGUGAGUAAUUGGGUCAAUUUUGGUUUGAGAGUUACCUUAUGAAAGCAUAAGCUUUCUACUGGUGGCUCAGUGAUAAAGAAUCCAUCUGCCAAUGCAGGAGAUGGGGUUCAGUCCCUGGGUCGUGAAGAUCCACUGGAGAAGGGAACGGCAACUCACUCCAGUUUUCUUGUCUGGGAAAUCCCGUGGACAGAGGAGCCUGGCAGAACUGUAGUCCGUGGAGUCUCAAAGACUUGGACACAACUCAGCCGCUAAAACACAACAAAGUUUGAGAAACACUGACAAGCAAGUUCUCAGCAAGAAAGAUGAAUUAAAAAAAAAAAGAUUAUGUUAAUAGUUCAAUAUUGAAGGAAUAGAAUUCUGAUUUUAACUGUAAAUUAACAUGUCAAUAAAAAAUGAGCUAGAUGGUAUAGGCUGAAUGACUGGGUGAAUCUUUACCUUUCAGAUACCUGUGUGGAAAACCUCAUUUAACAAAGGACACAGCAGAACACAAUCUAAGGCAAAGUAUUCUUGUUGAAAUAAAGAGAACUAUUCUUGUUACGGAUCGAGUUUGUACAUCUAUUCCCAAAAUUACCAGACACUUUUCUUUAAUGCAGACAUUAACUUGUAUGUAAACUAAUUCUGAUAUUGUCCAAUCUGAUAAGGCAAAAUAGACAAAAAAGGAAAUCAGAUCAAGACAAGUCAGCAAUAUGGAAUCAUAGGGAGUGGCUAUCAAUGAAGACUAUGGCCUUAUCACCUGUAAGUAAUAAAUCAUCUUUAUAUUUAGUGUUCUUUUAGGGUCUUAGCCUUAAGUUCCUUAGGUUCUGUGGGGGUAGAAUAGGACCCAGAGAUCGGGACGAUCCAAGGACUGAAUCUUGAUUUUAUUCAAAUUCAGAAUUUUGAUGUGGAUCCUACAGUUACUCUUAAGGUCAGAGACUUGGUUAUUUUCUCUUUCUU